rnacentral:rRNA from 1 species
UAGCUAUUUAGGUUAGAGUUUGAUCCUGGCUCAGAGCGAACGCUGGCGGCAGGCUUAACACAUGCAAGUCGAGCGGGCGCAGCAAUGCGUCAGCGGCAGACGGGAGAGUAACACGUGGGAACGCGCCCUUCGGUUCGGAACAACACAGGGAAACUUGUGCUAAUACCGGAUAAGCCCUUACGGGGAAAGAUUUAUCGCCGAAAGAUUGGCCCGCGUCUGAUUAGCUAGUUGGUGAGGUAAUGGCUCACCAAGGCGACGAUCAGUAGCUGGUCUGAGAGGAUGAUCAGCCACAUUGGGACUGAGACACGGCCCAAACUCCUACGGAAGGCAGCAGUGGGGAAUAUUGGACAAUGGGCGCAAGCCUGAUCCAGCCAUGCCGCGUGAGUGAUGAAGGCCCUAGGGUUGUAAAGCUCUUUUGUGCGGGAAGAUAAUGACGGUACCGCAAGAAUAAGCCCCGGCUAACUUCGUGCCAGCAGCCGCGGUAAU